rnacentral:rRNA from 1 species
GUCUUUUUGAUGAAUAAUUUAAAGUCUAAUCUGCCCCCUGAAAUUAUUUUAAAGGGCUGCGGUAUUUUAACCGUACAAAGGUAGCAUAAUAAUUAGGUUUUUGAUUGAAAUCUAGAAUGAAUGAUUGGACGAGAUGCAAGCUGUUUUAUAAUAAUUAAUUAAAAUUUAAUUUUUUAGUCAAAAAGCUGAAAUUUUAUUGAAAGACGAGAAGACCCUAUAAAUCUUUAUAAUAAAUUUAUUUUAAUAAAUUAUUUUAUAUAAAUUAAUAGUUUUAAUAUUAAAUUAUUUUAUUGGGGUGAUACAAAAAUUUAAUUAACUUUUUUAUUAGUAUUUCUUAAAUAAAAGAUUUAUAAAAAUAUGAUCUAUUAUUAAUAAUUCAGAGAAUAAGAUACUUUAGGGAUAACAGCGUAAUUUUAAUUUUAAGUUCUUAUUAAAAUUAAAGAUUGCGACCUCGAUGUUGGAUUAAAAUUUAAUUUAAAUGCAAAGGUUUAAAAAUUAAGUCUGUUCGACUUUUAAAAUUUU